rnacentral:ribozyme from 13 species
CAUUGUUUUUCUUUUGGAGAUAUUCUCUCUUUCUUUCUCUCUCUUUCAAUCUUUCUCAUUAUUUUUAAUUAAAAAGCAGUGAUGGAAAUUUGAUCUCGAGGACAACACAGAAGAGGCAAGGUAUGUUUAUUACCCUUUUA